UAAAACCCCUCUCAGUUCGGACUGGAGUCUGCAACCCGACUCCACGAAGCUGGAUUCGCUAGUAAUCGCGCAUCAGCCACGGCGCGGUGGAUACGUUCCCGGGCCUUGUACACACCGCCCGUCAAGCCAUGGGAGCCGGGGGUACCUGAAGUGCGUAACCGCGAGGAUCGCCCUAGGGUAAAACUGGUGACUGGGGCUAAGUCGUAACAAGGUACC
rnacentral:rRNA from 1 species